AUUGAACGCUGGCGGCAUGCUUUACACAUGCAAGUCGAACGGUAACAGGCCGCAAGGUGCUGACGAGUGGCGAACGGGUGAGUAAUGCAUCGGAACGUGCCCAGUCGUGGGGGAUAACUACUCGAAAGAGUAGCUAAUACCGCAUACGAUCUAUGGAUGAAAGCGGGGGACCGUAAGGCCUCGCGCGAUUGGAGCGGCCGAUGUCAGAUUAGGUAGUUGGUGGGGUAAAGGCUCACCAAGCCAACGAUCUGUAGCUGGUCUGAGAGGACGACCAGCCACACGGGGACUGAGACACGGCCCAGACUCCUAAGGGAGGCAGCAGUGGGGAAUUUUGGACAAUGGGCGCAAGCCUGAUCCAGCAAUGCCGCGUGCAGGAAGAAGGCCUUCGGGUUGUAAACUGCUUUUGUACGGAACGAAACGGCUCUGGUUAAUACCCGGGGCUAAUGACGGUACCGUAAGAAUAAGCACCGGCUAACUACGUG
rnacentral:rRNA from 1 species